rnacentral:rRNA from 1 species
AUUGAACGCUGGCGGCAUGCCUAACACAUGCAAGUCGAACGGCAGCACGGGUGCUUGCCCCUGGUGGCGAGUGGCGAACGGGUGAGUAUUACAUCGGAACAUGUCCUGUAGUGGGGGAUAGCCCGGCGAAAGCCGGAUUAAUACCGCAUACGAACUACGUAAGAAAGCGGGGGCCCUACUGGCCUCGCGCUUUGGGGUCGGCCGAUGGCUGAUUAGCUAGUUGGUGGGGUAAAGGCCUACCAAGGCGACGAUCAGUAGCUGGUCUGAGAGGACGACCAGCCACACUGGAACUGAGACACGGCCCAGACUCCUACGGGAGGCAGCAGUGGGGAAUUUUGGACAAUGGGCGAAAGCCUGAUCCAGCAAUGCCGCGUGUGUGAAGAAGGCCUUCGGGUUGUAGAGCACUUUUGUCCGGAAAGAAAUCCUUGGCCCUAAUACGGUCGGGGGAUGACGGUACCGGAAGAGUAAGCACCGGCUAACUACGUG